CCCUGUGUAUAGGAUGACUCAGGGUUAUACUGUCAACCCUGAUUAGAUCAUCCGAAUCAUGCUCAACUCAGACAGUCCUGUGACUCCUCACUAGGACUACCCUAGCCAAAAUUUUGCUAAAUUGAAAUACGACUGUACACAGCUCCUGAACUGGAGUGGUCAAUCCCAUCUUGACACACGCACCGACAAGUCAAGUACUUGACUACACCCAGCAGCCUUCCGUCACUGAAUUAGAAAUUCAGAUAGUCCAGUGCCUAAGUACAGUGAGUUGCUUGCCAGUCACCGUGGCGGUCUCAGGUCGGAGGGACAGUUAUGCCCAUAUCCCAUCAG
rnacentral:lncRNA from 1 species